AAAUCGGUCCUUUUCAGGGCCACCAAAGAUUUAAUAACGUCGAAA
rfam:Cerapachys biroi unplaced genomic scaffold scaffold582, whole genome shotgun sequence.